rnacentral:misc_RNA from 1 species
GAUGAAGAACGUAGCGAAAUGCGAUAAGUAAUGUGAAUUGCAGAAUUCAGUGAAUCAUCGAAUCUUUGAACGCACAUUGCGCCCGCCAGUAUUCUGGCGGGCAUGCCUGUUCGAGCGUCAUUUCAACCCUCAGGCCCCCAGUGCCUGGUGUUGGGGAUCCGCCCAGCCUUCCUGUAAGGCCGCCGGCCCCGAAAUCUAGUGGCGGUCUCGCUGUAGUCCUCCUCUGCGUAGUAGCACAACCUCGCAGUUGGAACGCGGCGGUGGCCAUGCCGUUAAACACCCCACUUCUGAAAGUUGACCUCGGAUCAGGUAGGAAUACCCGCUGAACUUAAGCAUAUCAAUAAGCGGAGGA